AGGAUGAACGCUGGCGGCGUGCCUAACACAUGCAAGUCGAACGUCCUGUCUCGCAAGAGGCAGGGAGUGGCGGACGGGUGAGUACCACGUGGGUCAUCUACCGUGAGGUGAGGAAUACCGGCGAGAAAUCGCCGACAAGACCGCAUAGGCUCGAUGCAAGUCGAGCAAAGCUCUUUCGAGAGAGGGAGCGCCACACGAGGAGCCUGCGCCCGAUUAGCUAGCUGGUGGAGUAACGGUUCACCAGGGCGACGAUCGGUAGCUGGUCUGAGAGGACGAUCAGCCACACUGGGAUUGAGAACGGCCCAGACUCCUACGGGGGGCAGCAGUGAGGAAUUUCGUCAAUGGGGGCAACCCUGAACGAGCAACGCCGCGUGCAGGAAGAAGGUUUCGGAUCGUAAACUGCUUUUCUCGGGAAGAGAAUGGACGGUACCCGAGGAAUCAGCCCCGGCUAACUACGUGCCAGCAGCCGCGGU
rnacentral:rRNA from 1 species